AGAUUGCAGGCUGCAACUCGCCUGCAUGAAGAUGGAAUUGCUAGUAAUCGCGAAUCAGCAUGUCGCGGUGAAUACGUUCCCGGGCCUUGUACACACCGCCCGUCACACCAUGAGAGUUGAUAACACCCGAAGCCUGUGAGCCAACCGCAAGGAAGCAGCAGUCGAAGGUGGGAUCGAUGAUUGGGGUGAAGUCGUAACAAGGUACC
rnacentral:rRNA from 1 species